ACAGCAGCAGCCGCGGGAAUACGUAGGUCCCGAGCGUUGUCCGGGUUUAUUGGGCGUAAGGCGAGCGCAGGCGGUUAGAUAAGUCUGAAGUUAAAGGCUGUGGCUUAACCAUAGUACGCUUUGGAAACUGUUUAACUUGAGUGCAAGAGGGGAGAGUGGAAUUCCAUGUGUAGCGGUGAAAUGCGUAGAUAUAUGGAGGAACACCGGUGGCGAAAGCGGCUCUCUGGCUUGUAACUGACGCUGAGGCUCGAAAGCGUGGGGAGCAAACAGGAUUAGAUACCCCGGUAGUCCCUGUCUCUUAUACA
rnacentral:rRNA from 1 species